GGGGGCAUAGCUCAGUUGGUUAGAGCGCAUGGAUCACAACCAUGAGGUCACAGGUUCGAAUCCUGUUGUCCCCACCA
rnacentral:tRNA from 1 species